AUGUGUGCCGGCGACGGUACGGGGGAGCGCUGCGCAUGCGCGCUGUGCGGAGCGGCGGCGGACGUGCACUGCGAGGCCGACGCGGCGUUCCUCUGCGCGCCAUGCGACGCCCACGUGCACGGCGCCAACUUCCUCGCGUCCCGCCACCGCCGCACGCGCGUGUCGCUGACGCCUAAGGGCGUGAACGUCAUAUCCAGGACUGCUACGACGUCGAACUCCUGCGUGUCCACGGCCGACUCCGCGACGACGGCGGCGCUGCACAGCAGGGGGGCGACGCUACCGGUCAGAAGGCGCGGCGCGCGGGGCGAGGCGGUGCUUGAGGGCUGGGCCAGGCGGAUGGGCCUCGAGGCGGGGGCGGCGCACCGGCGUGCCGCGGCGGCCGGCCGCGCGAUCCGGGCCCAGGUCGCCGCGGCGGCGCCACGCGUGCCGCUGCGCGUCACCAUGGCUGCGGUGCUGUGGUCGGAGGUGGCGGCUCCCGGCGUCCACGAGCCCGGCGAAGCGCUCCGGCGCCUGGAGGCCUGCGCGCACGUGCCGGCGAGGCUCCUCGUGGAGGUGGCAGCGGUGUCGACGAUGGGGGACGCGCGCGCGAAGAAGAGGACGGCCGCAGUGGACACCGAGGACGGCUGGGGGGACUGCUUGACCGUGAGCCUGGACAAGACACCAUGUUCUCCAAGACACGAGCUUCUCUUGUUCGUUUAG
rnacentral:rRNA from 1 species